CAAAGUCAAAAGUUAAGUUUUUCAUUAAAAUUUUACUAAUUUUAUGUUUUUUGUUUCUAUUUACCUUUAGAUUGGACCUUAAAUUAAAUGGUGUUCGUAUGACCAGCUUGUGGAACGAUUUACUUGCCCUUUCAGCCUGACAUUAGAUUUAAAGAAUAAUUUUGAUUCAAUUGGCUGAAUGAAAACUCACUAAUAAGAAGAUCUUGGCGUAGAUUUGAGCAAAAGGAGGAAAAGAGCAAGAAUCAAGCGGAUUAUUGGAAACCUACCUUUUCAUGGAUAGAACCGAUUAAAUAGCUGACAUAUGCGAAAAUACUGAUGGCUAAAGUCGAAAAGAAGAUGCAAAUAAGGUUAAUGGGACCAUCAUCAACGUUGUAAAUGGCACCAGUGAAGAAACAAAUAUCAGCAAUGAAUGUUAUUGGUACAUAAAUUAAGAAGGUGACUAGAUAUACAACGAGAUUGCAUCGAUCGAUUAAAUUGUAUACUUCUGAAUGACAGCGAACUAACUGGUUCAACAAUUUAACUGGACAUAUUUUUGCGUUUUUCACCAAAUCCAAAUUCGCAUUGACUGUGUCUUGGCGAAAUUUGACAUAAAGACAAACAACGCAAGACAAAGCAGCGGCGAUAUAACCAGCGGCGAUGAUAAUACUGUGAACAAACAUGAAAUAGAUGGACCAGAUGAUUACAAAUAAUUUUUGUAACCAAUCUUUCAUCAAAUACCAAGAAGCUUGGAUCUGAUGUAGAUGACCGAUGAAUAAAAUCGCGAGGGUUAUAACCAUAGAAGUUUCAACAUUAGUCAGAAUAAAAAUUGUGAUUUUCCGGAAUAGCCUACAGUGAUCGAAUCGCAUUUUGAGUGCUACCCGAUCGAAUCCAUAAACUUUGAUGAUAUUCAGAUCUGCCAAAAUUUUGAUUUCAUGGAAUAAUUCAUACCAAAGACCGGCACAUUUAACUGACCAAAGGGCCAUGUGGGUGAGCAUAAGUAAAAAGUGAAUUAGUUGGUGACUUUCAUGGCUAAUGUAACCAUUACCAAGGUAUGCAGUUAUUUUUUCAUAAUAAACGGAAUCUUUGGUAAUAAGAGCCAAAGUUAACAGUCGAAUAGACCAGAUUAAAUUGAAUAUGAAUAUGCUGGAUUCAUAAGCAAUUAUGUGUUUCAUUGGGCGAAGCUUCAAAUCGAGUCCUUGGUUGAGAAAAUGAUACUUUUUCAGUUUAUCGUCCAAAUAUUCAACACACUUUUUACCACGAUCUGAACUGUCGUCAAAUUUAAUUGAUGAUGUUGCAAAAACCUUUGUCGCUAGCACAGGCAUUUUUUUAUAAUUAUGAUUCCUACAAGCUCCAGUCUCCAACAUUUCAAUGAUAAUCAGAAUGGGAUUUUUCAAACACAUUAUUCUGUCUUUUAUCUAAAGCGUAAAUAUCAUGAAUUAUAAUAUUAUAAUUUAGAUAUAAGACUAUUAUGAAACUUACACUAUUAAUAUGAAUAUUACACUAUUUUCAUGUUUUUUGUUCAAAUUAACAUAUUAAUUUCACUUUGAGUCUAUUUCACUAACUUAAAACGAGUCAUAAUUCAUCCAUCACGUGAAAAGCAAAUGAUUAUAAUUUAAUUAUAAUGAACAUUUAUUGAUUAGUAACUCCAAUAAAUUUUUAAUUUUCAAGCGAAAAUAAUCCAUUAGAAGUUAACUAUUGUAUUAAAUCUACGCAGUAUAUUGAUAAUUUAAAAGUCAAUCAAUUACACUAACUAAAUAACUAAAUAACUAUUACACAAGCAUUACAAAAGGUUGAGUUUGAUCAUUGAUUAUUUUAAGAAAUGAUACUUGAUAUUAAAUCAAGAAAUUGUUACUUUGAAGUCUUUAGUUAAAAAAGCGGUCUUUGAACUAUCACCAGUCACAAGUCGCAAAGGCGGUCAAUCUUACGACUUACUUUGAACCACCACUUGAUUCAGUCUCUCCGAAAAUUACAUAUGAAAAGCAUUAGAUUUGAUGCAGUUUCGAGUAAAUACUGUUAAAAAAGGAUUAAUUAAUUACUUCAGCAAUCAUUUAAAAAAAAUACUAACCGUAACAAAAAACUCCUUGUUAAUAACAGUUGUUGGUGUCGUCAAUCCAAUUGGAGUCUCCAAAAUCCUCUCCAAUAGGAAUAAGGUCUUUAUUGAUGUUAAUUGAGUCAAAAGUUAAUCUUUUCAUUUUAUAUUUACUAAUUUUAUAUUUUUUGUUACUAUUUACCUUUAGACUGGACCUUGCGUUGAAUGGUGUUCGUGUGAUCAGCUUGUGAAAAGAUUUACUUGCCCUUUCAGCCUGAAAUGAGAUUUCGAAUAAACAAUUCUGAUUCAAAUGACGGAAAUCUUGGAAUAGAUUUUACCAAAAAGAGUAAAACUUCGCAAGAAUUAAGCGGAUUAUUAGAGGUCUACCUUUUCAUGGACUGAACCAAUUAAAUAGCUGACAUAUGCAAAAAUACUGAUUGCUACACUCGAAAAGAAGAUACAAAUUAGAUUAAUGGGACCAUCAUCAACGUUGUAAAUGGCACCAGUGAAGAAACAAAUAUCAGCGACCAAUGUCAUCGGAACAUAAAUUAGAAAGAAGGUUAGCUUUGUAACGAGAUUGCAUCGAUCGAUUAAAUUAUAUGCUUCGGAAUGACAACGAACUAACUGGUCCAACAAUUCAAUUGGACAUAUUUUUAAGUUUUUCACCAAAUCCAAAUUAGCAUUGACUGUGUCUUGGCGGAAUUUAAUAUAAAGAAAAAUAACUAGCAAUAAAGCAGCGGCGAUAGCACCAGCGGCGAUGAUAAAACAAAGGACAAAGAUGAAAUAGAUGGACCAGAUGAUUACAAAUAAUUUUUGUAACCAAUUCUUCAUCAAAUACCAAGAAGCUUGGAUCUGAUAAAAAUGACCGAUAAAUAAAAUUGAGAGGGUUAUAAUCAUGGAAGUUUCAACAUUAGUCAGAAUAAAAGUCGUGAUUUUCUGGAAUAGCCUACAGUGAUCGAACCGCAAUUUGAGUGCUAACCGAUCGAAUCCAUAAAUUUUGAUGACAUUCAGAUCUUUCAUAAUUAUGAUUCCUUUGGUUAAUUCAUACCAAAGACCGGCGAAUUUAAUUGACCAAACUGCCAUGUGGACUGGACCGCCUUCUGAAUCGUGUUCGUAUGAUCAGCUUGUGGAAAGAUUUACUUGCCCUUUGCGCCUGAAAUUAGAUUUUGAUUGAAUUGGUUUUAAAAAAUUGCUUAGCAAGGAAUUAUAUUGAAAUGAAUUGAAUCAGUUUGGAUCAUAUUGGCCGACUACCUUUUCAUGGAUAGAACCAACUAAAUAGCUGACAUAUGCAAAAACGACGAUUGCUAAACUCGAAAAUGCCAUGCAAAUAAAGUUGAGUUGGCCAUCAUCAACUUUGUAAAUAGCUCCGAGGAAGAAACAAAUAUCAGCAAUAAAUGUCAUCGGUACAUAAAUUAGAAAGGUGACUGGAAAUGAAACGAGAUUACCUCGAUCGAUUAAAUUAUAUACUUCUGAAUGACAACGAACUAACUGUUCCAACAAUUCGACUGGACAUAUUUUCAAGUUUUUCACCAAAUCCAAAUUAGCAUUGACUGUGUCUUGGCGAAAUUUAACAUAAAGACAGCCAAAUAGCAUCAAAGCUGCAGCGAUAUAGCCAAUGGAGAUGCAUAGAUAAAUAAUAAUAAUGAAGUGUAUGGACCAGGUGAUUACAAAUAAUUUUUGUAACCAAUCCUUCAUCAAAUACCAAGAAGCUUGGAUCUGAUAAAGAUGAGCGAGAAAUAAAAUCAAGCUGGUUAUAAUCAUUGCAGUUUCAACUUUAGUCAGAAUAAAAAUUGUGAUUUUCUGGAAUAGCCUACAGUAAUCAAAUCGCAUUUUAAGUGCUACCCGAUCGAAUCCAUAAAUUUUGAUGAUAUUCAGAUCUUUUAAAACUUUGAUUUCAUGGCCUAAUUCAUACCAGAAACUAGCACACUUAAUUGACCAAAAGGCAAUGUGGGUGAGGACAAGUAGAAAGUGAAUUAGGUUAUGACUCUCAUGGCUAAUGUAACCAUCACCUAGGUAUGCUGUCCAUUUUUCAUAGUAAACGGAAUCUUUGGUAAUAAGAGUCAGAGUUAACAGUCGAAUAAACCAGAUUAAAUUGAAUAGGAAUAUGCUGAAUUCAUAAGCAAUUAAGCGUUUAAUUGGACGAAGCUUCAAAUCAAAUCCUUGGUUAAGAAAAUGAAAGCUUUUCACUUUAUCGUCCAAAUAUUCAACACACUUUUUACCUCGAUCUAAACUGUCGUCACGUCGUCGUUUCUUGAUUAGAGGCAUUUUUUCGUAAUUAUCGUUCCUACUAUGACAAUCAGAAUGUGAAUUUAUGAACACUCUUCAUUGUCUUUUAUACAUGUUCAACACAGAUUUGUGUUAACUCUAUCCUAGAGCAUAAAGAUCAUGAAAUCUGACAAUUUAGAUGUAAGAUUAAUAUGAAACUUUGAAUAUUUUAUUAUGUUAAAAAUUUUUA